UACGGAGGGGGCUAGCGUUGUUCGGAAUUACUGGGCGUAAAGCGCACGUAGGCGGCUUUGUAAGUUAGAGGUGAAAGCCCGGGGCUCAACUCCGGAAUUGCCUUUAAGACUGCAUCGCUCGAAUUGUGGAGAGGUAAGUGGAAUUCCGAGUGUAGAGGUGAAAUUCGUAGAUAUUCGGAAGAACACCAGUGGCGAAGGCGACCUACUGGACACAUAUUGACGCUGAGGUGCGAAAGCGUGGGGAGCAAACAGG
rnacentral:rRNA from 1 species